CUCACCUCCUGGUUGGAACCAGAUUGAGAGGGCUGGGACCCAGAUCGGCUAGAUCAAGACAUAUUACAAGAAUAACCUGGAGAGAAGAAAUAGUCAUUGUAGCAUGGGAUGUUUGAGUUCUGGAUUCCUCGUUUCUCAACAGAAGCCAGAAGCAAGGAUGAGAAGCACAAACAGAUGGAAUCUGAGGGAACCCCUCUGAGGAUUCAGCUACUACAUCAAGGACAUUGAUGAGCCUUCCUCCAAAGCCAGCUAUGGCAGGACUAGGCACCAGCAAGCUCACAAGAGCUUGGCACCUUCAACCACUGUUUCAGCAGCCUUUUUAAACUGCUCCUCCACCACUCCAUCUGCUCUGGAGAAUACUCACAUACCUGCAUUUGGUUUGGAUAACAUUUCUAUUACAACUAGCAGUGUUGCUUGCCACCUCUUCAACUAUAACAGUGAGCAGCCCCUGCCCCACUUAGAGAAUUUCUUCACCCAGAAGUCAGCUGUGGAAGCGAACCUAUGGAUUGAUUGUCCUGGUGUUGGGAGGCAAAAGGACUGGUCACCUAGGGAGGACUGUGCUAUCUGCUUCUGUCCAAGGUUAUUUAGAUUUCUUCCUUGGCUUCCAACACUACUAGAGCUCUUCCAGGAGGAGGAGAAGUGACCAGCUUGGUCAUGAGCACUGAGGAAGGAUUGAAGAGGCCCACACACAGCCAGACAGAUACUCGAGGAUUUGAAGACACAAAACCCUUGUUUCUAGGUAUCCUAAGGGACCAAGAGGGAGCUGGACAAUCAGUGAGUUCCUGUGCCAACUCUGAAAGGCCAGGAUUUCCAGUCCCCUAAACCUGCCCUCCUCUCCUGGAUGCAACAAGAAACAGAGGUGUGGCACCUAGAAGCCCAGGAUUCUGAGGAGAAAAGGAAUUGUCCAAGAACCUGCAGAGGCAAGGAAAGAGUAUUACAUUUGAACUCCUAGGUUUAGUUCUUUGGAGAGAUCUUCUGAGCCAGACCUCAGUGGAAGAUUUUUUUUUUUUGCCUUCUUACCCUUUAAGGAUCUGAUCUUUUAAGCUACCGUUGGAUCAUCUCCCCAGAAAAGGUUCUCUCCCCAAGAUUACAGGCCUCCUCUGUGGCUUCUAUUGAAGCCACCUCCCUGCAGAUGUAAGAGAUGAUGUAGUGCUUAGCUGUCUCUCCUACACCCUUAGAUUUCUACAUAAGUUGCCUUUGCGAUUCUUUAUUCACUUGCCUCAGACUGGGAUCUUGGGAAUCUUCCUCUGGAGGCUAUUUCUACCAGACAUUAACCUCUUUUUCUCUACAAGUACUGUUGUGAAUCUUUGCUACCAUGAUUCCUUUGUUUGUUGCUCCAGAAAUUGCUGAUGCUUCAUUUUUUGACUUGCUUCUCCUGAUAGCUCUCCUAGCAAAUUCUGCAGCUCCCCAGGGCCAAACUAAGUGUCAAAGCUAAAUUUAAAAUACACACACAUAGACAUCCUGAAGCUAAUAAACAAAGGAUACUUUUA